rnacentral:lncRNA from 1 species
GCUAGGGAAGGCCGAAGGGAAAUCGGGACGUGGGCACGUGCCAGCUGUAGUUGAGGUGGGUAUGUCCAGCGCUGCCCUCAGCAGCCUCCAUGCAGGAAGGCACAUCCAUCUCUGUCUGGGCUACUGCUACAUCCUCUUAUGCAGUGCUUCAAGGCUGAGGUGGAAUGCCGCAUAAGGUAAAGGUAGCUGUCUUUGUUUAACAUCACACUGCAUCCGAAGUGUGUAUGGCGGUUUUGUAAAGGAUUUACGUGACUCCUUGUAGUUUCUAGGGGGCAGCACAAAAUUGUGGUUUUGAGUUACAGAAUCCUUUGUGUUGUGGGUCUGGUCAGCUUUCCAGCCAUCUCUGCCUAGAGCUGUCAUCCAGAAGUGUGUGGAUCCUUCUGUUUUUACAUACUGACGGCUCAUUGAAACCUCGUUACUAGAAACUACUUUUAUCCUGCUCUAAAGAGACUUAAUGGUUUUUGCAGAUGUGUCACAGAACCAUGGAAUGGUUUGGGUAGGAAGGGGCGUUAAGGAUCAGCUAGUUCUACACCCCUGCCAUAAGCAAUAAGCUGAAACUUCACGCGAGCUGUUUUGCUGAGGUGUUUUGUUGAUGGGGUAGGAGUGAAGACAGGGAACAUGCAUCUGGUUUUAGUGUUUGAUGAUGUGUCAUAUUAUUGGACUCCAAACAAGCACGUUUACCAUUUCUAUGUACCCGGAAUCAUUACUGGUCUCAUGUCUAUAGCCCAGUCUAUAGGAGAAAACAGUCAAUGAAUGCAGUGUGCUCAGGCUCUUAAAAGAUAGAAGGUGGAAGCAGCCACAGAUAUGGACGCCAGGCCUCUCAGUGGAACAGCUGGAUUGAAAAAAAUUCAGGGAAAAUGGAGCAUUUCAUGAAUGACUGAGAGCCAUCAUAGUUGCAUUAGCGCACAAGUUGCCUAGCGAAGUGAACUCAAACAAAGCCGAUUUCAGUAAAGACAAACUGGUGCUGAACAGUCGCCUGGACAGCAACUGCAACAAUUUAAUGCCUUUGAGAGAAAAAGUGACUUUUUUUUUCUUUUUUUUUAAAGGACUUCAUCCUAUGGAAGGAAGGGAAUAAUUCAGAGAUCAGGAAAAACCAGAUGGGCAAUUUGACUGCUGCAACAAAUGUACUUCGGUUACGAGGCACCACACAAACGUGGCCCCCGGUUUCAGCAUCUGGAAUCUACAGAUAUCUGCUGGAACGACUACAGACAAGAUAAAGCCAAAGGUGGCCUAUGUAAUAUUUUCUAAUUGUAAUUUUUCAGACGACCAUCCCCCACUAUGUAUAAAAUUAGCUCUACCGUAGCAUUUCGAAGUAAUCUGCUUAUUCUUUUACAUAUUAAAACAAACAAAAAUACCCUACAGCAUAAAAAUACUACAUCUGAACACACAUACUAUUCUAGGUACAGUAUGAAGCUUAUUUAAAACUUGUUUUUUGACUGAUCUAGCUCUCUGCCCCUCUAUGGAACUAGCUUCACUUCAACAACAAAAAUGUACACUAAAUGCAAAUAAACGAUUAAGCAGCAAGACUCGACACAUUUUUUGGCAACUACCCUUUCACAGGACUAGUGUGUUUUCCUAAGAAAUAAUACACUGAAUUACAAUACGAAUAAUUUAGGUUAAUGUCAAAUAACUUGUGGAUAUAUGUGUCCAUAUCAUCAAUAAACACUGACCCCAUUUCUGGGUGUCUUGGUGCUGUUAUUAACCAUGUGUCCUCACAACUAUUAUCAAUUACUAAACGAAAGCCUUUCUCUGCAAACACUUCUGCGAGCAACUCUGCUCAUGUGAGAUAGCCCUCUCAGCUCCGGGACUGCCC